GAUGAACGCUGGCGGCGUGCCUAAUACAUGCAAGUCGAGCGAACGGACGAGAAGCUUGCUUCUCUGCUGUUAGCGGCGGACGGGUGAGUAACACGUGGAUAACCUACCUAUAAGACUGGGAUAACUUCGGGAAACCGGAGCUAAUACCGGAUAAUAUUUUGAACCGCAUGGUUCAAAAGUGAAAGACGGUCUUCCUGUCACUUAUAGAUGGAUCCGCGCUGCAUUAGCUAGUUGGUAAGGUAACGGCUUACCAAGGCAACGAUGCAUAGCCGACCUGAGAGGGUGAUCAGCCACACUGGAACUGAGACACGGUCCAGACUCCUACGGGAGGCAGCAGUAGGGAAUCUUCCGCAAUGGGCGAAAGCCUGACGCAGCAACGCCGCGUGAGUGAUGAAGGUCUUCGGAUCGUAAAACUCUGUUAUUAGGGAAGAACAUAUGUGUAAGUAACUGUGCACAUCUUGACGGUACCUAAUCAGAAAGCCACGGCUAACUACGUG
rnacentral:rRNA from 1 species